AGGCAGGAGCAGCUCAGCAUAGAUCAAGGGGCACGUCCCCCUAACCACGGGGCUGGAAGACUCACAUCACUGCGCAGGGCCACCCUCUUCUCUAGCCAAAGGUAUAUUUCUUCGGCCACUUCAGCCACUUCAAUGAAUCGCACUCAGAAGAAUUGCUUGCCAGGGGCCCACGGAAGUGUGUCGACACCUCUGAUGUACUUAGCAAACAUUAAAGCCUCUAUGUAAAUAUCCCCUAUUGCCUCAAAGCAAGAACAGUUCCAAGUAAUAAUUAACGUGUGAUCAUGCCUGCAGAUGAUCAGAGUGGUGUGGACAUGGAAGCCACAGGACUUGACGAAAUCAAGGAACAAUGACACCAGGGUAUUAGAAAAACCAUCAACGAUGAAGUUUCCUACCGUUUUGCCAUAUCUGUUUUCCUCUGUGUGAUGUCAGUCAUCAUGUUCUUCACUGAAGGCUCUUCACUACUACUCUGUGAGUACUACAUUGCAAGGAAUGAAUAAAUAAAACCCAGAACGAGCCUUCAAGGUCCAGAAUGAUCAACCCUUUUCAAGCUUGAAGGGCAAAAUUUGUUCUUUCUUCUGAUUUCAGAUACUGAAAAGAGUGUCAAGUGUCUGAAGCUGGAU